GGCGCGGCGCGGCGCGGGACUGCUGCGCAGACUAUACGCGGGUCUGCCCAGGUGCACCCGGGGAAAGGUCUUGCUGUAUUGCCCAAGGCUGGAGGACAGUGAUGCAAUCAUGGCUCCCUGCAGCCUUGAUCUUCUGAGCUCAGUCCCUGCUUUGAUAACCACAGGCAGCUACGGGAAAGAGUGGGAAAAGUGAGAUAGUCCCAAGAAACAGGCAACAGCAGGAUAGCAUCAGCUCUAAAAAUAUCUGAAUUGGAAAUCACAACUAUUUACUUUUAUCAAAAAGCAUUUGUUUUUUUCCCUGAAUUUUCACAUUUGUGCUGAUGGUGGACAUUAAUGGUGAUGAAAACAAAGAAGAGACAUGUGAGAUGGUCGGCGGAGAACUGUCCCACAGUCAUUCCUCAAGAGGCCCCCAGCUCAGACUGCGUGUUCAGCAAAGUGUUUUGGGAGUGCUGCUUCCUCUGCCUGGCACGGGAUGACCUCACACUCUCCCUGCCCCUAAGUCCCUUUGCAGUUGCUGCGCGAAUACUCUGAAGAUACCUAGGAAGAGUGACGUUCUCGUUUUCUCUGUUAAUGCGGCAAAGAACAGGACUGCACCCUCUUGGGGGGAUCUACAGUCUCUGGAGAUGCUGAGAAGUGUUAUGAAUUGGGUUUGUAUACAGCAGAGAAGACAUAUUUUUAAGGGUGGUGGAAUGAUCCCAUCUCAUCAUAUGUGUGGCAGGUGGCUCAACCUUAUGCCUUAUGUAUGAAGAGCAGGCAGAACAGCUCCAUGAUAUUUGUGUACUGAGAGGUGGAUCAUGCCAUUGUACUAACAGGCAGACCAGCAACAGAUGAUAUUGAGACUUAAGACUAGGUGAACCAAUACCAUAUCUUUCUUCCACUGGGAAGACAUAUGCCUGUUACUGUAUUGAGGAUAGACAGAACUACACUAUUGUACUUGGGACAUCAUCCAUCAACAUUACAUUAAGAGAACAACAUUGUUCCAUUGUACUACAGACAGGCAGACCAAUAACAUGUCAUCUUUACUGACAGGUGAGCCAACACUAUAGCAUUGUAUUCAUCAGUGGUUCAACCUAAUGCCACUGUACUGAGGAAUGGCCAACAACACCAUGCUGUUGGACUAAAAGCAGGCAGGACAAUGCCAGGUCAUCAAACGAGGACAGGAAAACCAACACCAAGAAAUACACCAGAACCACUCAGGAUGCACACAAAUACUUAUUGCUUUUGUCUGUACUGGCUGCAUCGAUGGCUGCAGGAAGGAGAGUUGAGCUUUUAGUACAGACAGUGACACUGAAAAACCAAUAGCUGGUUGACAAGAAAGAGAACAGAGUAAAACACCCAAUGUCCAACUGUCACUGUGUCCUUUUGAGAUGUGCAUGUCUCCUGUAUACUUGACUUCAUGAGAGGCCCCACCCAAGGGGCAAGAACCCCUCCUGACCCAUGAGGGUUAAGGGAAGGUUUCAGAGGGGCAGGGAAGGAGCCCACAGACUUUGAUAUGGCAGACAGUAAUACCAGCACAAUAUUACCCAUGCUGGCCAGAAAUGGGCAGGUAGCAACAAUCCAACUACAGUCCCAACAAUUGGGCUAUGGGAAAUAGUGCUUAUUUUAAAGUGCAAGAUGUUGACACUGUCC
ensembl:lncRNA novel transcript